rnacentral:tRNA from 1 species
GGGGAUUUAGCUCAGUGGUAGAGCCCUUGCCUAGCAAGCGCAAGGCCCUGGGUUCGAUCCCCAGCUUCG